UGGGGUGUAGCUCAGUGGAGAGCGCUUGCCUGGCAUGAGUGAGGUCCUGGGUUUGAUCCCCAGCUCUCCAG
rnacentral:tRNA from 1 species